UACGUAGGGUGCGAGCGUUUGUCCGGAAUUACUGGGCGUAAAGAGCUCGUAGGUGGUUUGUCGCGUUGUCCGUGAAAACUCACAACUCAAUUGUGGGCGUGCGGGCGAUACGGGCAGACUGGAGUACUGCAGGGGAGACUGGAAUUCCUGGUGUAGCGGUGGAAUGCGCAGAUAUCAGGAAGAACACCGACGGCGAAGGCAGCUCGCUGGGACGGUAUGACGCUGAGGUGCGAAAGCGUGGGGAGCAAACAGG
rnacentral:rRNA from 1 species